rnacentral:rRNA from 1 species
UACGGAGGUUCCAAGCGUUGUUCGGAAUUACUGGGCGUAAAGGGAGCGCAGGCGGGCAAGUCAGUCUGAAGUGAAAUCCCGGGGCUCAACCUCGGACUUGCUUCGGAUACUGCUUGUCUUGAGGUCGUGAUAGGAAGACGGAAUUCAGGGUGUAGCGGUGAAAUGCACAGAUAUCCUGAGGAACACCGGUGGCGAAAGCGGUCUUCUGGCGCGAAACUGACGCUGAGGCUCGAAAGCGUGGGUAGCAAACGGGAUUAGAUACCCUGGGUAGU